GACGAAUGCUGGCGGCGUGCUUAACACAUGCCAGUCGAACGAUGAACCUCGAAAUGAUUUCUUCGGAAAGAUUUUUGAGAGGAUUAGUGGCGAACGGGUGAGUAACGCGUGAGCAACCUGCCUUAGACAAGGGGAUAGCCUCGGGAAACCGUGAUUAAUACCCUAUGAGACUCCACUUACGAGUGUAAGAGAAGUUAAAGCUAUUGCGGUCUAAGAUGGGCUCGCGUCUGAUUAGCUAGUUGGUGAGAUAAAAGCCCACCAAGGCGACGAUCAGUAACCGGCUUGAGAGAGUGAACGGUCACAUUGGAACUGAGACACGGUCCAAACUCCUACGGGAGGCAGCAGUGGGGAAUAUUGCACAAUGGGGGCAACCCUGAUGCAGCGACGCCGCGUGAGCGAUGAAGGAAUUCGUUUCGUAAAGCUCUGUCCUUGGAGAAGAUAAUGACGGUAACCAAGGAGGAAGCACCGGCUAAAUACGUG
rnacentral:rRNA from 1 species